ensembl:lncRNA
CUGUGUGGUUGUCAAAGAGAUGCUAUGCGGUUUUCAAGGUGUUUCUAUGCUGUUGUCAGGGUGUUGCAAUGCUGUUGUCAAGGUGAUGCUGUGCAGUUGUCAGGGUGUUGCAAUGCUGUUGUCAAGGUAUUGCUGUGCGGUUGUCAGGGUGUUGCGAUUCUGUUGUCAGGGUGUUGCUAUCCGGUUGUCAAGGUGUUGCUGUGCGGUCAUUAGGGUGUUGCAAUGCUGUUGUCAAGGUGUUGCUGUGCGGUUUUGAGGGUGUUGCGAAGCUGUUGUCAAGGUGUUGCUGUGUGGUCAUCAGAGAGUGGCAAUGCUGUUGUCAAG